rnacentral:tRNA from 2 species
GGCCUUAUAUUCAAUUAUGAUUCUAGACUGCAAUUCUAGAGAUGUAAAUUUAGUUUUACUAAGGCUU